rnacentral:rRNA from 1 species
CAGUAGCCACGGGAAUACGUAGGGUGCAAGCGUUAAUCGGAAUUACUGGGCGUAAAGCGUGCGCAGGCGGUUAUAUAAGACAGAUGUGAAAUCCCCGGGCUCAACCUGGGAACUGCAUUUGUGACUGUAUAGCUAGAGUACGGCAGAGGGGGAUGGAAUUCCGCGUGUAGCAGUGAAAUGCGUAGAUAUGCGGAGGAACACCGAUGGCGAAGGCAAUCCCCUGGGCCUGUACUGACGCUCAUGCACGAAAGCGUGGGGAGCAAACAGGAUUAGAUACCCCCGUAGUCCCUGUCUCUAAUAC